rnacentral:lncRNA from 1 species
GCUCUUGGCAAGGCCUAACGUGAAGCUAUUCAAUGCUGUGGCUGCUGAGGAUUUGAUCGUGAAGGAAAACAGAGUCGCCGGUGUGGUUACAAACUGGGCUUUGGUGUCAAUGAACCAUGACACACAAUCUUGCAUGGACCCAAACGUGAUGGAGUCCAAGGUUGUGGUCAGUUCUUGUGGGCAUGACGGACCAUUUGGAGCCACCGGAGUCAAGAGAUUGAAGAGUAUUGGGAUGAUCGAUAGCGUCCCUGGAAUGAAGGCACUGGAUAUGAAUACUGCCGAGGACGCAAUUGUUAGACUUACCAGGGAGGUUGUGCCUGGCAUGAUUGUU